GAUACCAAGACGCCUCGCACUGCAUCGCGGCUAUCUGCGGGUACGUCGACGACGUCGUCGUCAUCCCGACGCUGGUCUGGGGUGGGGGAAAGGUCUUUCUCUCGCGAGACGCGCUUGGAAGUAAUCCAGACGCUGCAGCCACAGUCCGGCAUGGGGUGCCCUCCUAGGGCGUCUCGUGGUCUGCUGGAGUGUGGCGUCUAAAGCUCGACGCUCUAGUUAUUUACUAAAUACUAACCGCAUGUAAAAGUUUAAAAAGUUUCGUGAAUAGUUUUAGUUAUACAUGAAGCUCUGCGUGAUACUUACGAUGGAGCGGUGAAGAAUUAUUAGAAGAUAGUAAGACAUCAUGUCCAGUAGACCAAAUUUGGAUGUGACCUCCUUGGACCUGAAGGACCUCGCCGCCAAAUUAUGCAUGUCUCUGAUCAAGACAGCCGUCUUCGAAUAUGACGUCAUCGGUGACGUGUCAAUAUCAGCUAAUGUGUCGGGCUGAUAUUGACCGCAACUUCUGAUACUUCUCAACGAAAAAGCUCCGUGUUUUUCAAGAUAUCAUAUUUCCUUUUCGAUUUGUAUAUACUGGAUAGUUAAUUGUAAUUUUUAGGACUAGAAGAUUACUGCGUGAAACAUGAUAUCUUUGAGAUAUUUCAGUAUUGUUUAGAGCUUUACUUAGGUGCUUUAUUAUCUAACAUUAUGCGUAAAUCUUAUAUGAUUAUAUACCCUCUGAUUUGAUGAUAGAUGAUCUAGAUGAAUUGUAUAAUUUAGGAGAGUUAUUUUAGUAUACAACUGUGUAUAUUGAGAAGUAAUUCGAACUGCAUGUUAUUUUAUAAACAUAUACAAUAACGCAAAGUUUUUAUAUAUUGAUAUAUGAACGAAUAGAGAGUCAAUUUGGAGUCACGAGGUAGUUGUCUAUAAUUUUCGGUUUUUGUCACACGAACUGUGUAGAAAAAGAGUUUCGAAUCUGAUAUCAUAUGAAGGUAUAAUGUUUCAACACCCUCACUCUGUUCGGAUAAGCAAAAUUAGUGCUUAUUCAAGAUGAUCGAUGAACGAAUUACUGUUAUUGUAUCCAUCCAAAUAAACUUUGAAACCAA